rnacentral:rRNA from 1 species
GAUGAACGCUAGCGGCAGGCUUAACACAUGCAAGUCGAGGGGUUGAACACUUCGGUGUUUGAGACCGGCGCACGGGUGCGUAACGCGUAUGCAAUCUGCCUUGUACAAAGGGAUAGCCCAGAGAAAUUUGGAUUAAUACCUUAUAGUAUAUCGAUGUGGCAUCACAAUGAUAUUAAAGAUUUAUCGGUACAAGAUGAGCAUGCGCCCCAUUAGCUAGUUGGUAUGGUAACGGCAUACCAAGGCAAUGAUGGGUAGGGGUCCUGAGAGGGAGAUCCCCCACACUGGUACUGAGACACGGACCAGACUCCUACGGGAGGCAGCAGUGAGGAAUAUUGGUCAAUGGGCGCAAGCCUGAACCAGCCAUGCCGCGUGCAGGAUGAAGCAUCUAUGGUGUGUAAACUGCUUUUGUACGGGAAGAAACAACUCUUCGUGAAGAGCCUUGACGGUACCGUAAGAAUAAGGAUCGGCUAACUCCGUGCCAGCCGCCGCCGUAAUAC